CCUUUUUAGUUUGCAUGGAUUGGAAAGACUCCUUUUCCUUUCUUUGUGUCUUUAUUCUAGGGGUCUUUUGGCAGGUCUUUUGGUUUUUCUUGCCAAUUGUUUCCCGGGGCUACUUACUUUUUUGUUCCUCACGUUGCUUCCUUCAGGUCUUCUCAUCUUCGUGCGUAAUCUGUCUGCCAUUUUGUUCCGCUAUGUGUUUUGUUCUUUGGUGCUCCCAUUUUGUUUCUUCUCAUGAGCUUUGUUAGACCUUUCUAAUACUCUCUUCGUUUGGGCGAUCGCUUUUGUUGGUGUCUUAAACCACCAGCUUUUAUAACUGAUGCUGAUUUCUCACAGCAGCCACAACUCUCCUCGAGGUAGCCAUGCAUGAAUAGUCCUGCGCCAUCACAAACAAAAAGGCAACUACUGUUAGAAGAUGGGACGCCUUUGCACAGCUCUGCAACAGCUGUUUCGACUGACCCUCCAAGUGGAUCCAUAUCACUUGAUCAUGGUGCCAUCUCCGACGCAAAUGAUCCAGUAACCAAACGCCAUCGUCCUUUUAAACACGUUAGUGAUGGGGAGUUCCCAACCAACAUGAUCACGCAAUUUUUUUGUUCAUGAAACGACUCUUCAGUCUGUUUUCCUGUUAAUCUUGCAUGCCCCUAUGAACUACUCCAGCAACAUUUUACUCUAUUGGAAAGCAAUGCUACUCUUUGACAUUGCUAUGGCAUCGUUUUGUUGUUAAUUAGUUAAUCCAUAUCUUUCAUGAUGCUUUGGGAUCUUGGAUUAGCAAAUCAUUCCAUGUGUUGUUUUGAAUUUAAAUUAUGAUUAACGAAACA